UGGGUCAGUCCGCACGAGCGCACCCUGUCCUUAGUUGCCAGCGAGUAUGUCGGGAACUCUAGGGAGACUGCCGGUGACAAACCGGAGGAAGGUGGGGACGACGUCAAGUCAUCAUGGCCCUUAUGGGCAGGGCUACACACGUGCUACAAUGGCCGGCACAGAGGGCUGCGAAGUCGCAAGGCGGAGCGAAUCUCAGAAAACCGGUCGUAGUCCGGAUUGCAGUCUGCAACUCGACUGCAUGAAGUUGGAAUCGCUAGUAAUCGCGGAUCAGAAUGCCGCGGUGAAUACGUUCCCGGGCCUUGUACACACCGCCCGUCACACCAUGGGAGUGGGCUGUACCAGAAGUAGGUAGUCUAACCUUCGGGGGGACGCUUACCACGGUGUGGUUCAUGACUGGGGUGAAGUCGUAACAAGGUAGCCCUAGGGGAACCUGGGGCUGGAUCACCUCCUU
rnacentral:rRNA from 1 species